rnacentral:lncRNA from 1 species
GAAUAAUAGCACAAUCUGUAUUGACUGCUGCAUUUUUAGUAUGGCACACUCUGACACAUUAUGGCAUGGCAGGAGUAGGAGCUGAUGUGUCAUAUUUCAUUCUGUCACCAUUAACGUGGAGUGGCAUGUCAUGUUAUGUCCUGUCACUGAAGUCAUGUCAUUAAACACUGAAACAUAAGAAAACACACACAAUUAAAACAAUCCUGGGGCAAAAAAAAAUCCAUUAAAAAAAAAAUCAAACGCAAGAUUUUAUUACGUAAAUGUAAUUCAAUUUUGUUUACACAGGUAUUGCUGUUGAAGCUGGUGUGGUUUCCUGCAGAUCUUUGUCUCCACUUCAAUUAUUUCCAGCUCUCGCGGAUUCUGACAACACUGCUCAGACCCUUGCAGUGGGGAAGGAGCGCUGCGAGAUGUCGGAGAGGCAGAUAGCUGCCACGCUGCCAGGACUUCUUUAGCAUCCUGCCCAGUGAAGGAAGCCAAGGCAGCUAUUCCAAGUUCCUCUUUGGAAAAGCUGCUUCUUGCCCUCUAUCUGCAAGGAACCGCAGUGGGUCUCAGAUCUCAUCGUGGUCUGCCCAACAGAAGGGAAUGGACACAGCGGUGUCCCCAGGCAGGGCAGCAUGGAGGAGAACCAAGGGACCAGGCUGGACCAGAACCAAACGGUUACGAAACAGCCAUCAAUAAACGGAGUCCGGAAAUUAGUAGGUCUUGAAACUUGGAGAAAGUGAUGUCCUGGAACAGGUUCCAGCAGGAGCAGUGGAGGCAAGAAGCCCACGUGGUUUAAAAUUGAGCUUUAUGAAUAGGUUUUAUUAUGCGGCUGCCAGCAAUAGCAAGGGCUGAAUUGAUGGCUGGGAAGGUUCCUUUUAAGGCAUUUUGGUCUUUGCUCCAUGCUUUGCAUUCUCCUGGGAUUUUUUAAGGUGACCUUCAAAGGAUGGCUUUUAGAAAGCAAAUUCUAUCACGCUGUGAUUUCUUUGCAAUGUAUAAAGAAACCCUGAAAGAUUUUUAAAUGUUUGUGUUAGUUUAUGCUUGACGGUUGCUUUCGAACGAACGGGAAAGUUGAGUCUGGUUUUGCUGGAAGCCUUGCUGGUCUCCUAAUGCAUCUGUUGAGAGAGUGGCUUUCAUGUCUGCACUCCUCUAGUGAGUUCAUUGCUCAAAGGACCUUAGGUAGACAGAUUCUGGGAAAAGAAUAAAAAAUGCUACAUGAAACCA